CUGUCUUGAAAUAUUUUGUCGGACGGUUCAUUUAUAUUGUAUAACAAAAUAUAAAAAAAUUUCACGCGUCUCUUAAAAUACAGUCGGGCGGUGAUGAGAAUAAAGGAAUUUAUUUUAUGUGGCCUUAGAAGACGAAUUUCCGCCUCAAAUUUUCCGUCUAAUCUUGACCGUUUGAACAACGGAACAUUAAGACGGAUUUCAGCUGGUAUAUGGAAAAGACUAGGAUAGCAGGUUUCCGCAAUUUUCAGGCGUGUCUGUCUGAAGACUUUCGUUUCACAUUCAAAAAUCAGACGGAAAUCCGUCAUACAAGUUUCUCGUUUUCGACGGAAAUUAUUUUCUGAAGGCCAUACAGUUUACACUUUUGCAGAGUCUGAAUUAUGAACUUUUUGAGUAUAUAUGCAGCCUCUUUUAAACAUUCAUUACUUACUCACUGUUCACA